GCAGGAAGACGGCCCUACCGGUUUGUAACUGCUUUUGUACGGGAAUAAACCUUCUUACGUAUAGGAAUUUGAAUGUACCCGAGAAUAAGGAUCGGCUAACUCCGUGCCAGCAGCCGCGGUAAUA
rnacentral:rRNA from 1 species